rnacentral:rRNA from 1 species
AGCGGCAGCACGGGUACUUGUACCUGGUGGCGAGCGGCGGACGGGUGAGUAAUGCCUAGGAAUCUGCCUGGUAGUGGGGGAUAACGCUCGGAAACGGACGCUAAUACCGCAUACGUCCUACGGGAGAAAGCAGGGGACCUUCGGGCCUUGCGCUAUCAGAUGAGCCUAGGUCGGAUUAGCUAGUUGGUGAGGUAAUGGCUCACCAAGGCGACGAUCCGUAACUGGUCUGAGAGGAUGAUCAGUCACACUGGAACUGAGACACGGUCCAGACUCCUACGGGAGGCAGCAGUGGGGAAUAUUGGACAAUGGGCGAAAGCCUGAUCCAGCCAUGCCGCGUGUGUGAAGAAGGUCUUCGGAUUGUAAAGCACUUUAAGUUGGGAGGAAGGGCAGUUACCUAAUACGUAUCUGUU